rnacentral:rRNA from 1 species
CCUACGGGGGGCAGCAGUGAGGAAUAUUGGUCAAUGGGAGAGAUCCUGAACCAGCCAAGCCGCGUGAGGGAAGACGGCCCUAUGGGUUGUAAACCUCUUUUGCCAGGGGACAAAGGCGGCCACGGGUGGCCGUAAGCGGGUACCUGGAGAAAAAGCAUCGGCUAACUCCGUGCCAGCAGCCGCGGUAAUACGGAGGAUGCGGGCGUUAUCCGGAUUUAUUGGGUGUAAAGGGUGCGCAGGCGGCGUGUCAAGUCAGCGGUAAAAGGUCGGGGCUCAACCCCGGCCGGCCGUUGAAACUGGCGUGCUCGAGUGGGAGAGAGGUAUGCGGAAUUCGUGGUGUAGCGGUGAAAUGCAUAGAUAUCACGAAGAACCCCGAUUGCGAAGGCAGCAUACCGGCUCCACACUGACGCUGAGGCACGAAAGCGUGGGUAUCGAACAGGAUUAGAUACCCGGGUAGUC